UUUUUCUAUUUAAUCCUUCUUAUAAUUCCAGAAGUUUUAAAUAUUUAAAUUUUUCGCGCGCCUGGAUGAAAAAAAAGUCAUGUCAUCUUAGCCAAUCAGAAAACUACUAAUAUGAAUCUAUGGCAUAUGGCGUCAGUCUGGUAUCGAAACUCAAUCGUAAUAGCACGCGUCAGUUCGUAUCAAAUAUAAACGAUAUUUGUGCUACAAUUUAUAAAUUUUGUUUAACUAAUACGUUAUUUAUUCGCAAGACGUUACUAUUAAACAGUUCUUUUGAAGUUUUUUUACUUUUUUGUUGAUCAAUUAUUCGAGUGUUAAAUUUGCCGGUAUACAUCUGAAGUAUACAUCUGAAACAGGAAUUGAUGUUUUCACUCGUUCCAUGCUCGAUGUGUUUCAACGUGUCCCGAUCUGUUGCUAAACUCUCGAAUAUAUCCCCUCCCAUAUUUGUAUUUGUGCGAUGACGUCACAGUGCAAAAAACUUGUAACCGCUAGAAUUGUGAAAAAGCUUCGCAUCGACAAGAUGGAGGUGGCGGAAGACCGGUCCUCGAGGAUCGGAGGCGUCGUCCUCGCCGAUGGCCCCGCGGAUUGUCGCCCGCUUCGACCGCCGCUCGACGACGCGCACGGCUCGUCCGACCAACCCGUCUGCCCUCGAGACAUCCUGAAACCGUACAUGGAACAAGAAACACGGAAUUCGCGUUUACAAGAAUGUGGACGAGGAGAGCGGGAGAGAAUGGAGAUCCACGGGGCGUACGAGGUCACGGAGGAGACGAGUUAAACAGCAUCCAACAUCCUCCUCCCCCUCCUCCUCCUCCGUAUAUGCGCACGGAGGCUAUUCUCCGUCGGAAUGCAUCGAGCGGCAAAUGUUCUCCUUUUCUUCCUCCAGUGUGGAGGAGGGGAGGGGAGGGCGAUUGUUCAGCACGGCGAAAAUUCGGCGAUUCCCCGAAGUAAAGUGGAAGAAGUCUCACUGGAAGGAAACGCGUUCCAUUUUCAUUCUACCAUGAUCUGAAGCUCGAUCCUAAAGAGAAUUGUAAGUUUAAUAGGUGGUGGAAUAAAAGGGGACGUGGAGAGGUGUCUUCCGAAGGCGAGCGAUUUUCUUCUUGCGAACAAAGAGAGUCGAGGCAAUAUCGUUUUGGACGGAGAUUUGGCUACAUGUAAUUGGACACAUCGAAUUUGCAUCGGGUUUAGAUGCAAGCGGCCGACAUCCUUGCGAUUCCACCGUUUAUAAACUGUCUGCACUUAAAGGGGAGGAGGGUGGUGAGCGAGGCCGGGUAUUAGAGAGAGGUGAUCCUAACCCGACCCAGAUUUCACCCUCGUCGGUCGUGGGUGAAUUUCGAAAUGAAAGAAACCCGCGCCCGAUCGAUUCCGCUCGUCGCCGCCGUUGAAAAGAAGAAAAAGAAAAAAGGAAAAGAAGAAGAAGAGGAGGAGGAGGAAAGAAGGAGACGAGAUGAGAAAAAGAAUCGAUCGAGAUAAAAGAAAGAAAGAAAAAGGAGGAAAAAAUUGAUUCGACAAUUAAAUCGCGACGUGUACCAUCCAUUCCCUGUUAAAUUUCAAAAAUUCGUGGAAACAAGAUCGAGUGAAAUUGGCGUGGAACAAGAAAUCCUUAAUGUCUGACAAAGAAAGAGAAUUCUCCUCGACUCGUAAAAAUUUCACGUAUGCGAAAGAAUCGAAAGGAGAAAGAAGAGGAGGAGGAGGACGACAAAGAACUUAGCUACGCCAAGAGUUUUCGGGAAAAGGAAACACGAGAAGAGAGAGAGAGAGAGAGUUUAAUUACGAGUAAAAAUCGAGUUUGCUCGAUCGGCGUCGAGAUUGUCGCCUUGCGAAACGAAGUCUCGCGAUUAUUAGAUUUCCAGCGGAGGGGGUUGUUGGUCGUCUCUCUUCUGGAGAGGGGUCGAAGGCAUUGGCUAAACAGUGUAAGCCCGUCCUGCGAUCCAAACGGGGACAGGGACGGCCGGGGGGGUGGGACGGAGACAGACGAGUGGAGCGUGGGAGGGAGAGAGGGUUGAAACUAUUUCUCUUGCCUCUCUGGUACGCCGGUUGUGAUUUGAAUACAUCCAGUUAGUGGCGCGUGCCUCGAAUUCCCGGCUACCCGACGGAAAUGGUUAAAGGAGCCACUCGUUACUUCGUUUCGCCGAUAUUACGCCUCGUUCGCGUUUCCAACGUGUCCCGUCCCCGAUUUGUUCCCCUCGUGUUCGAUCUCUUUCCACCCUGACGAGUGAUAAUUGGACGAGGAAAGGGUUACGAGGGCGUGAGGUGAAAGACAGAGAUGGAAAGUUUUCCUCCGUUCCUCCGUAACGCGAAUUGCGAGUUGCACGUAUUCGUUUGUAAAGCGGUAAUUAAUCUUUCGAUUACCCGUGUAUUUAGUUUUUCAUACCGUGGAUCAUCACUGUUUGAAAAAGGGAUGGAGUUUUUCCAAAUUUGUCCAACCAAUCUUUUCUGUAUUCAUCUCGAAUUAACGCGAGAUAAGUUUUUGUUAAUUCAGAGAAUUUUUUUGGAAUACGUAAUUUCAAGCAUGACUCGAUUACAUUUGUAAUUCGAGUGUUGUGAUUGAUUGAAAUAAAGCAAUUGUUAGUCUUUUUUUUUCUUUUUUGUCAAAGUGAGAUUUAGUUUAUUUUCUGAUUUUAAAAGAAAUAGGAAUACUAUAAAAUGAUAAAUUAUAUUAACGAGGAUUUGAAAUAUUUUUUUUAUUACGGCGCGAUAACGGAAAAUAAAAUGACAAUCGUAUGAUUUCCGGAAAUCGCAUAUGCAGUUGUUGUAAAACGAUAACGGUAAUUUAUCGGUGGCCGCGAUAAAAACCUCCCUAUUAACAACACGUUUUUUUUCACGUUUCAACUCGUCUCUCUCGAAAGUAACGAUAUCUCGAAUUUACAACUCGAUUAUCCAUCUUUAUUGAAGAAAAAGUGAAAAAAUCAAAAAGUACUUUAUUUAUCACCGUUUCGAGGCUCUCCGCGCCAAAAAAAUAAAAACAAAAUGAAAAAUCCCAUAUCACUCCCUCUCCUUUCUCCAUAGGCCGUGGAAAUGGAUUUCCUUGGUCGGACGCGUGGGCGAUGGAUGGAUCCAAUUUGAAAGUUGUUGCACGUUACGUUUAAACAAGCCGGUCGGUUUCCACCAGCCGGGAUUACUACUCCCCCAACUUACGAGGAACACGCGUAUCUUUGAACGGAGCCGCGAUAAUCUCCUCGACUCGACAUAAUUUGAUAUUUAAAUGGGGUCGAAACAGUUUGGCAACAGCAAUUUGUCUUCCCUUCACUUUCCCUUCCCUCCCCCAACAACACACGUUCCCUUCGUUUUCUAUCUUCGACGAUUCGUAAACGAAGCGAUUUAAAAAACGUGCGCGCGUUUUAGAUUGGAAUGUACUACUUGAAACUUUUGCAACCGCGUUUACAUUAUUACAUUCUCAUUCGGGAAAAUUUUAAUAAUCGUUGCUCGAAUAAUGGAAUAAUUAGUUAAACAACUAGUUGAAUAUUAUAAUGUUUCCCGUAUCGUAUUAAUUUUUCUAAACGAAGAAAAAAAGAGAGAGAAUUAAAAAUAAUACCUCGUCGAAUUACACUCGUUAUUCAUUUUCAUAUACCUUGGCAUUGUGCAAUUAUUCCGAUUAAUAAAAUAAAAUUUUAAGAGUGUUUUAAGUUUCAUUGAAGGAUUGAUACGUUACAGAGAUUGAUCAGACAAAAGGGAUUCGCACGAGUUGCGCACUCCAAUAGACGGAUCUCGUUUCCGGGUGGAAAUAAUUUUAUUUAAUAUUCGGGCGGGAGUUGGAUUCCCGCGAAACUCGGCAAUCGUCUAGAUUAACGAGGACAACGCGACCGAGUGAUUACCGAGCAGGGAGGGAGCGAAGAGGCGGGGAUGGAUAGAUGGAACAGAGACGAUCGGGUAACAGGUUGUUGUAACAGUCUCGAAACAAUUAUCCUCGUCGUUCGUGUGUAAUAAUAACAAACCUCCGUUACUCGCUGCGUCUCCAAUCAUCUAAUUGCGAGGAUCUGGUGGGAGGAAACGAAGACACGUACGACGUUCGCAAUCCUCGCGAAAAGCGACCAGCGAGUAAGUAAGCGAAAUUCGACGUUCGACUUUCCCGGAAUUAGCUACCGACUUUGUGACGCGUCCGCCCCUUCCUCUUCCCCCCACACAACUAAUCAAAACUUCCUUCCUUCCUUCCUUCCUUCCUUCCUUCCUUCCGUUUUCGCGCGACGUCGAUGCAAUGGGUUUCCAAUAAUCUGCGGAUACGCGGAGUAAUGAUACAAUGCGAUGAUAUGUGGUGACGAUUUAAUUUUGAUCCCCGACUUGUCACGAAAUUUCAAGAUAUAUCUGAAGAUUUAUACAAGAAUUAGAAAGAAGAAAAGAAAUUAUAUAGUAAUAUAAAACUAUUAUAAUUUGUCAAGUUGUAUUGUAAGAUGGUCGAAAGAAAAUAUGGAGGUUUGUCAUUAAAAUUUGAGAUUCUUAAGAAGGUAAAAAUUCUCCCAAAAUAAUCAUAUGCUCAUUUUCGAAUACAAGUGAGUAGUCUCAAUCUAAGGAAAAUUCUUAGAGUGAGACCGGGGAAGUAAGCCACUCACAAAGUCUCCUGUUUUCCAGGAAAUUGAUCAGUAAGUGUUUGUGAUAAUUUUUCUCAAGUAGGAUAAUGCUGAUUGCCAUUGAGACUGGCUGGUCCUCUCAAUAUCACGUUGACAAAUUGUUUCCAAAUAUACAAAAUGAAAGAACGUCCAAAUUCUUCUCUUCGAAAAAAUUGUUUGUUGUAUGUUUAAAAUUUCAACUUGUAAUAAAAAUAACAAGAGGAAGAUCUGGAUGAAACAUCUGAGUCGUAAAGCGAUCCUUCUAAACUCCCAUGUCUAAUCUCGUUCACACGAGAUUACACAACAAAAUAAAAUAAUUUGCACGUUCCCUCGAAUAUUAUCCAGCCGAUGAUCGAAUGUAUUCGAUCGAACAGUUAAUACGAUUCCACUUCGUUAUCGGUUGUUAUAGGGCAGCGAAAGAAGCAUGGGAAGAGGAGAAUGAGGAAGAAGAGAAGAGUUGUUGAUGGAGAGAGAAACGACCGGUAAUUUCCCCGUAAUUCGUUAAAAUAAUAUAAUACGAAAGGGGUUGGGAAUAAUUUUGACGCGUAUCAAAUUAAUAAGUAAUAUCGAGUUUACCGAAUGAAAUAUUAAUUGCGCGCGAUCAGGGGGAGGGGGUGGAGGGGUUGCGUUAGGGCAGCGUGCGAUGCAUCCGCGAGAGCACGGUCAGCUCCGCGAGAUACAACGUGAAUUACAGGGUGGAUGAAUUCGUGGGGUGAGGAGGGGAGGAUUCGUUUUUCACGCCAGGUUAACGAGCGUGCGCGUAAAUCCGCGCGUGGAGGGGGCGCUGGGCAUAGGAGGAGGAUAAAAUAUUUGCGCGGAAAAUACUUGGAAAAUCUAUCUCCCUUUCCCUCCCUCCCUCUCUCUCUCUCUCUGUAUGCAAUAACAACGCCGACAAUUGAAUUAUUAAGCGACGGUACGUGCUAUCGACAACGUAUUAAAAGGACAACCGACAAGCGACAAAGGGAGGGGGAGGAAGGCAGGUUUGAAAAGCGGUGUAACCGAGGCACCGAUCUGGCCGGUUAGUUCGAACGUGGAUCGGAAUGGUUGAUUUUUGCGUAUCAAUCGGUGAUGAUCCGUGAUCACCGUUCAUCCGUGUUUCCAAUUGUGAACUGUGCGAAUAAAAGAGGGAGAGGGGGGAGAGAGUUAGCCGAGAUGCUCGAGGAGAGAAGGCUGGAGCUGAGCAACGCGAUAAAUAAUUCUGUCGCGAACGUUCGGUCGCGACGUUCCAGGAAUUCGUUUACACGACUUUGCGCCGCAAAAGCAGGGAAAAGAUUGAGUUACCUUGCCACUUCUCUCUUUGGCCCGUGGAAUUCCGAUUGAAAACCCCUCCCUCUCUCCUCUCAUCUCCUCUCCUCUCCUCUCCGUGACCGAGUUGACGAAUCGGUUGGAUUUCUAUCGGGAGGAAUCUCGUCGUUGCCCCCUCUCUCCCCCCUUGUCUCUACGGAAAUUAGUAUAUUUUGUGUGGAGAAUUAGCCGGGUAUUUGGCAGCAUUCGAUCUCGAGAUCGAAUAUGGAAUGGAAUGAACACGGUUCUUUCUUCCGACGCCGAGAUGUCGACGUCGAGAUACGAGGAAGAAAAGGAAGAGGAGGAGGAGGAAAAGGAGAAAGGAAAGAAGCCGCGAAAGUAGUAGCGGGCCGGUAGUCGAGUUGGAGAACAAAGUCGAUAUUAAAAUCAAUCCAACUGUCGGGCAACGAGUUCGACUGAGUUUGUAAACUUAAAAGUUCCGUAGUCGCCUCCCCCUCUCCCUUACCUUCCUUCUUACUCCACCAUCCGCAUAUUGAACUUUAGUCAAGUUCACUCUGCCAUUUGCGUUCCUCGCCGGGUGUGGAGAGGGAUGGUUAAGAAAGCUCGACCGAGGAGGACAACGAAAACGAGGAAAAAACCUCGAGGAAGGAGAGAGAGAGAGAGAGAGAAGCGAAAGAUUAGGAGGGGGAAGAGGAAAGAAACGGAGGGAGAAGUCGAGGGACGAGAGAGGACAGGUUGAUGGGAGGCGAAAGAAUGGAAGAACGAAAGAAAUAGUGGAAGGAACCCCUCCGUAUCCGCUAAGUAGCACUCCCGAGGACGACAUUUCGAGGAUCUCGUAUUUUAUGCGCCUCGUUCGUAUAUUUUUUUCCCCCCUCCGUUAACGGGAGAAGAAAAGGAGACAAGAGUUUGCACGCGACGAGUUUGAAUUAUGCAUCGUCGAUAUGCAUCGUCCUCCGUCUCUCCUUUCAAUUACAUUAACCUGUACAGUUUCGAAGGGGGAGGGCGCGAGUUAUAUAUACGUUUAAACGAUAUGGAAAAAACGAUAUGGAAAGAAGCGGAAAGAUUGAGAAAGAUUGAGAAAGAUGAGAGGAAGAGGGCGAGUUUUAUCGCUUGUUAAAAAGAAAAAAAAAAAAGUCUCUGAAUUCCUAAGUAAAGUUUUCGAUUAAACGGUCCGUCUUUCGUCGUCGACGUCUCAACAAUUUUUCUUCCCCCUCCAACUUGAUUCUCCCUCCAACCUUUUCGUUUUCCAUACCCUUGUUUUUUCUCUCCGAAACUGGCAAAACGGAAAAGGGGAGGAUAUACAAGACAACUACGUUAAUUAAAAAACAAAGUAGCACCGUCCCUACCUUCGUUCGAUCGACGAAGGGAAGGGAAAUCCGAAGUCUGAAGGAUUGGCCUAUGCGCAAAAACGAGAGAGCGAGAGAGAGGAGGAAAGAAGGAGUAAGAAGGAGAAAGGGAGAGGAAGAGGUGGAGAAGAGAGGGGGUGGGUCCGUCAUUAAGGUUAUACAAAUCGCCGAUUACGCCUCGCUGUUUAACGAGCGCCGAGUUUCGCGAAUAUUCACGGCUCGAAACGGAAGCUGGAGACUAGCCGGCAGUAAAGGCGGGUAAAUUAAACAUUUCGCUCGUGCGUUUUAAGCGGGGAGGGCGGACGGAAUUCGCUCCUCCUCCUCCUCCUCCAUCUCUUGGUAUCCCCGCUCGACACCUCCCCCCUCGUCACGUUGAAAAGCUUUCCGCUUCUUAUUCCACGGCUCGUGGUGCUCGUGAUUCCAGCGCGACCGUGUGCUCGAGUGUCGUCGGCCUACGACCUCGUAAUUAUCACGUACGAAAACCACCGUACAAAGCGGCCACUCGAAUGCCUAUGUUAAACUUCAUUUCCAUCCGAUGAGGAAAUAUGGUGGAUCGAAUGGAAAGAGAGAGGGGUUCUUUCGUUCUCGUUGUUCCCUCGAACCCGAUUAAUUAUCCUAUAAUUUUUUCAAUGAGUAAUAUAGAAAUUGGAUAAAUAUAUAUUGUUAGGACAUAAUGGAUUGUCCAUCCCGCAUUAUCUCUCGCGCGUUAAAUUGGCAUGAUGGUGAAACGAUGAAUGAUGGAAGGAUGAUGUUAUAAUUAUUAUAUUUCAUUGGAAAUAGAAAAUUGUGAAUAGCGGAUUAUUUGAAAGUUUGUCGAAAGUAAUCGAUCAUUUUAUUCCAUCAUUUCUCAUCGGUUACUUAUUCGUUUUAUUAUUAACAUUGUGGUGGAAAAGAAAGGGUACGAAGGGUUUCUCUCGUUUAUAAUUUCAUAUCGAAUAUUGAUAUGCAAAUAUGCGUUAUAUCUAAAAGGAUCUUGUCCAAUCACGACAAUUAUCAAAGAUCUCGCCGACAAUUGAUAAAACGUAAGAAUCAUUACGUUUAAAUUGGCGUACAAACGAUAUUUCAAAUAUUUGUCGACAUAUUUUUGUUUUCCCGUUAACAAGAAAAUAUACGUAUAUUUUCACGUUAAAAAGAUAAAAGUCGGAUUAAUUUUAACAAACACUGGAAUAAUAUUACUUUUUUUACGUGAAAACUGUAUCAAAUUGACAGGAAGCGUGAUUAGUUAAACGGUUAAAUUUAUCUUUCCUCUUUUUUUUCCAUUUCAAUUCGUUAAUAGUUGAUAAAUGAGAUGAAAAUUGGGGGAAAAAAACGUCAAUUGUCGUAUUUCCCUAUAAAUACAUCUCGAAGAUCGAAAUUGCAAAGAUAUAUUCUCCUAAUAACCUAUUUUUUCCUACCUAUUACCUUUAUCGGGAUUACGAAAUACUUCAAUUAUUAUGUCCCGGCUCUCGAAUCAACGAGGAACAAUAACAAGUUUGAGGCCGAUGAGAUGGAAAGAAGAGAGGGUUCGCCGAUUUCAUUGCGGAAACACCGAAAGGUGGGCCGUAAAAGUGGCAAUAAGACCGGGACAAACAAACGGGGCUGUGUGUUUCCCUCCCCGGUAGGCGAAGAAGCUUUAGAAUUCGUAAUUAAACGGCUCGAGUCUCCGUGGCUGAAUGUACGAGAGACUUUUGAGCAUAAAGGUUUUAUGCGCGACCCCCUCCUCCCCCUCUCUCUCGCCAUCCAUGCUUUUUUCCUUCGUCUUUGAUACUCUCGAAACCUCGACACCCGUUCACCAUACCGCUGGAUCGCGAUGAGCUUCGAUGGGCUGCAAAAUUUGGGAAUUGGGAUAAUAAUUGAUAAUGGAAUGAUAAUGGGAGUCAGGAUGAAAUUUUCUUAAAAUUUUUCAUCCAUUUUUCUCUUUAUUCUACGGACGAUAAAUGGAUUCGAAACGAUUAUUAAUUGGGAUGAGAAGAGAAUCGGUCAGUGCUUGGAAUUUUCUUAAAAUUUGUCCAAACUCGAUCGAUACAAUCGAGCUGCGCCAAGUAAGCGGACCCGUGCAAUAUAAACAAAGCCGGGAAUAAACUAUCUAAAGAUAAAUAACAACUGGACAACAAGAACCAGUUUUGUGGAAAAACUGUGCGCUCUGUGUAUCGACGAUUCCCCUCGAAAAAACGAGGGCCACUCAAGAGCGGUUAAGAGUCGAAUCUCGAUCGAGUUGGGUUGGGAAAAAAAUUUGUUGCGGAACGGAUCGAAAUAAACAUCAACAAAAAUUUUCCACUAUACUUUUUUAAAAGAUCGAUGUAUGUAAUGUUCUUUCAGAUUGAUUUCAGAAAAAGUUGCGAUUAACUGUUUAGACCAUCAAGAAAUUUACAUUCUAAUAGGAAAAGAAAAGAAAGAAGAAGAAGAAUGAAGGAAAAAGAGGGUUAAUCGAAAUGCAUAUCGAUAUCUGUCUCUCCAAUCUCUCUCUCUCCGGGAAUGUUUCGUCUGAUCACAUGUUGGAAAGUCGUAGAAGGAAGCGGGCACGCGUUUCGAUAAUUCAAGCAGCGACAACGUGUCACGAGAGGCCGUGGCUCGACUUUAUUUCGACACCGGGUAGGCCGCGCGCUUCCUCGAAGGUCGACAUAAGAGAAAUACAUAAAUUAUGCGGGCGGCGGCGGCGGCGGAGGGUCAGGCGGAGACGUGACUGCAACUUGCUUCGUAUUAAACUUAUGAAUAUAAAUCACAGGCCGGCUCGUUUCACGUCCCCCGACUCAACAUGCACUUCGUUCUCGUUUCAUACACUCGAUCGAAUCACGAUCCCUUCACCUUUCUCCCUCUCCUCUAUUUCCUUCCCAUCCUAUUCUUCCCUUUUGUUUCUCCCCGACUUCUCUCGAAUUUUUCUCUUUCUCUCUCUCUCUUAUUAACUCGAUGGUGUCAAAGUCCCGGUUCUUUAUUCGAGCUAGACGAGUUUAUGUUUCCCAGACACGCACCACGUUCGACGAAUAAUCACCACAGGCAUUUCUUCGCCGUUCCGAUGGACUAUUUUGAUCAUUCGUCCGGGAUCGAAGAAUCACGAUCGUCAAGAAUUUAUCCAGUGAUUGGAUAUUGGAGUUAAUUCGUUAAAUAGACUCGAGAUUUGUACCAAUCUGAUCAAGAACGAUUCUUAUCUUAACUUGAGUUGAACGCAAAAUUUAUUAAAUUAUAUUGUGAGAAAUAAAAAAAAUUUUUAUCGUUAGAAUAUUCCUAAUGCAUCGAGGUUUAGAAUCGUGAUUUCAUUGCCAUCCAUCUCUGUCAGAUCAGAUUAAUAACAUAGAAACAAAAGUGUAAAAAAAAAAGGAAGAGUUGGACUCUUUGGUUCGUUCAAUUUCACUUCGAUUCCUUUUAUCAAAAAAAUCAAGAAGCAACAACUCGAAUGGAGAAUUUCAGAAGCAGAAACUGCGCCCAAUGUCUCCGUUCCGACUUUUUCCUCGAUGACGCAUCGCACGAGAGAAGUGCCGUUUCCAUCGGCACUUCCGUUUCGCCGCAUCCGCGUUACACACACACACACACACAUACACGCGAUGAAAAACCGCGAAUACUUCUUCUACGUAUAUCUCGUUCUCGAAACGAAGAUUAACGAUUCCUUCUCUCUCGCCCCGGAUUCACCACCACCUUCCCCUGUCCCAUGCCCCGGCGAGUUACCUCGUGAGAGGCGUUUUCAGAAACUUGGAUAUAUACGAAGGACGACCGUAGUUUACGAGACGUCUUUUUAUCCCCGCGUCACAAAUCAUACGGGGGAGAAAUUGUGCGUACACGAAAUAAAAGUGAUGUAUAGCGUAUGUCGAGACGGCUCGAUUCGAAACAAAUCGAGAAAUGGAGUUGGGGGUCGAACUUUCGUAUAUCGCGUAUGAGGGGAACGUAAUUUCAAGAAGUCGAGUCGGAUGUGUAUACGUGCGAAUGUAGGGGGAGGAGGGAGGUGGUGGAUUCGCGUGAGGAUAAGGCGGAAACUUAUCGAGGAUCGGGAAUCCUAUCGGGUACACGCGCGGGGCAAUGUUAACCGUGACGAAGAUUAAACCCCGUUCGUGAUAAUUAUUAUUCGUUGUGACAGUUAGGAGGAGAGCUACAAGUAGGCGAGAUACCUUGGACGGUUGUUUCGAGCAAGAAUUGGUAAAAGUAUACAUGUUGGACGAAUACGAAAAUUUCAAAUUAUUAUCCUCUUUAAUGCCAAGAAUUCGUGUUUUAUAUUGGCGUGUCUUGGAUACUUUUUUUCAAUCCAGAUAUAUCUAAUUAUUUUAGAUAAAUUACUUAAACUGUAUUUGAUAAAUAUGUAGCUCUUCCCUAUUUUAUUCACUUACUUACGAAACUAAUUCGUUGACAUCAAAUUACACGCAAUCUGAUUUUAACAUUUUAACCACAGGGAAAAAGUGGAGAUUCUUUAUUUAACGAUCAAAGAAUCGUACGGGAAAAGAGUUUCGAUGGUUUAAAAAGCUGGAAACCGCGUUCUUCCGUAAUUCGGAUGCAUAUCGGGAGAGCCUUGGGGAAUCCUGUGAUCACGCAUGGAUGCCCUAUCCGAUCCGAUACACCAACAAUCCGAACCCAAAGCGUGUCAGUGGCUCGACGUCAUACAUAUCUGAUAGCAAAGAGGGGUUUUCGUAUCCCUCCUUGGAGAGAUUCUUUUUUUCUCUCUCCCUUCCCUCCGCUGUUUCCCUCAACUAUCCUCCCCUUUCCGCGACUUCCGUCACUCGAGUUUUACGUGACGAAGGGAAAAAAAAAAAUCCCUAACCUAGAUCAAUUUCUUCCCUCUCGCCUCGAAAACACGGACGAGGCGUAUUUCCAGAGGGGAGGCGCGUAUUUCCGAGAAGCGCCGAGAGUUUACCUCGUUGCGACCAAUUUCUAUGCACUUUGACUCGAGUCUUUGGUCCGCAUUUGAGCGGGCGAAAUAUCAAGGAGAAGGAGACUCGUGGGUAACUCGUUUAACCGUUCCGUCGUCGACGACGACGACGACGACACCGGUUUUCGAUCAUUUUGACUACAACGAAUGAAAUAUAUUCGUCGAAAUUGGUAUGGCCGAUUUAAUAAACGGGUGGGGGUAAAUAUUCUCGUGGCAAAUAUUUGACGAUGUUUGAUCCCGUAAUAUCCAUAUCCUGGAUAUAUCUAUUCCAUAUAUUGAUCUAAACGCAAAACUAUUACUAUAUAUGUAAAGAGAGAGAGAGAGAGGGAGGAGAGAACCUUGACGCGGAGAAACUUGACGAGAGCCAAUUUUUCCCUUAAUUAACGGGGAGAGGGGAGCACAAUGGAUGAAUUUCCACGAUCGAUCCGAUUUCGAAUGAAGGGCGAAACGUUCACGGAUCCGUUUGCGAGUUUUCCUCCUCCUCCUCCUCUUCCUUCUCCUCCAGUUAGUUCCUCCGUGUUCGAUCGUCGGGGAAUGGUUAAGAGGGAAAGCCAGAGGCAGAAGCGUUUCCCGAUUUUCCGCUCGACGGAGCGUAACCUUCCCGCGGAUUAAAUUCGAAUCGAUAUUUUUAUCGGUCAUUCUCGUUACGCCAGCUUACAAUAAUGUUGGCGGGAAACGUUCUCUCUCGAAGAGAGAGAGAAGAUCGUUCCUCCUCCCUUGAUAAUCCUCUCUCUCUCUCUCCUCUCAUCCGCGCUAAGACCUGCCCGUUUCCUCGUUUACGAUUCGGAGGGAAGGCAAGGGAAGUUAAGGGAAAAUGUCGCGGUGAUAGCUGGUUUAUUAGGGGCAGCUCAUGCGCGCCAACCCUUCCACCGGCCACGCCGCGAGAGAGCCGUUCAUUUUUAAUGGCGCGCGCGAGAUGGCCGAGAUGCUCUCGAGAGAAGUGGACGGGAGAGAGAGAGAGAGAGAGGAGUUGCGUCGCUUUAAUAGAGGCUGGGGAGAAACAGGUGUACGAGAAUCGUAAAAGGUACUGUAACCGCGCGAGGAAAUUGCCCGAGAGAGAUGAAUCUUUCUCUUUCUCUCGCGUCUUUUCUCGCGAGACGAUCGACGGUAUCUUACGAAAUACCGAGAACCGAUCUCCCUCCAAAGAUGAAUAUUCGUAUUUCUUGGAAGGUAGAAACAUUUGUUGUUUCGAAUGUAUAAAUCAGAUGUAUCGUUCGUGUGAAGAAUUGGCGAAGAAAAAAAGAUGAAGAAUACUUUAACACCUUCCCCCCUUGAAUUCUCGUCCCGUGUGUAAUAAAAUAAAGUCUGCGCCUCUCAGAAAUGGAUUUUUCACGAGUCGUUAAAUCAUACGUGCAAAUCCUCGAGUAAAAAAAAAGAAAGAA